ensembl:lncRNA
GGAGAGGAACAAAUCAGUUCAGUACCGCUCAUGAGCUUUAUGGACCCUUGACUAUGGGGAACAGAAACUGAUUUAUUAUGCUUACCCCAUUGCCUAAACAUAUUCCUGUUUGUUCUCCAUGUGUUUGGUGUUGAUACAGAAGAAGUGAAGACAAUAUCAGUGAUGAAGGGAGAUUCGGUCACUCUACACACUGAUGUUACUGAAGUACAGAAAUAUUUGUUCAUACAGUGGAUGUUUGGAAACACUCGAAUAGCUGAAGUCACACAAACCAGCUCAACAUAUGAUGGUCCUGAUGGGAAAUUCAGAGGCAGACAGCUGGAUCAGACUGGAUCUCUGAACAUCACAAACCCCAGAACCACAGACUCUGGACUUUAUUAACUAAACAUUUUGAGCCAAGAGACCAGCUAGCUACACGAGUUUCAAUCUUACAGUCUAUGAUGUGGCACAUGAAAUGAAGUCAGUGUCAGUGAUGAAGGGAGAUUCUGUCACUCUACACACUGAUGUUACUGAAACAGAAAUAUUUGUUGGUACGGUGGAUGUUUGAAAGCACUCGAAUAGCUGAAGUCAACAGACUCAUGCAGACUAGCUCUAAAUAUGAUGGGAGAUUCAAAGACAGACUGCAGCUGGAUCAAACCGGAUCUCUAAUCAUCACAAGCACCAGAACCACAGACUCUGGACUUUAUCAACUAACAAUUGUCAGCAGAGAGACCAGCUACAUGAAUUAUAAUGUUACUGUCUAUGAAAGAUCGUCAAGCUCAAAUUGUGUGUCGUCCAGCUGUGCAGCUGUGCAGUGAGCCGUUCAGACUGAAGAUACCAGCAUUGCUGAACUCUAUCAGCCGAGUUUAGAUAUACAGCAUGACCUGUUUGUGCUUGAGGACUGUGUUAAUUUGCAUGCAUUUUCUUCUAUGAUUUAACAGGAACAGAGAAUGCCCAGCAGAUAUGUGACAGAGAAGUGAAGCAUGUUUUCUGGUGUUUGGGUGAGUGGGGGGGGGG